rnacentral:rRNA from 1 species
CCUACGGGUGGCAGCAGUGGGGAAUAUUGCGCAAUGGGCGAAAGCCUGACGCAGCGACGCCGCGUGAGGGAUGAAGGUCUUCGGAUCGUAAACCUCUGUCAGCAGGGAAGAACGGUCACUGUGCUAAUCAGCAGUGAAUUGACGGUACCUGCAAAGGAAGCACCGGCUAACUCCGUGCCAGCAGCCGCGGUAAUACGGAGGGUGCGAGCGUUAAUCGGAAUUACUGGGCGUAAAGCGCUCGUAGGCGGUAUGUCAAGUCAAGGGUGAAAUCCCCGCGCUCAACGUGGGAACGGCCUUUGAAACUGGCAAACUGGAGUGUGUGAGAGGAGAGUGGAAUUCCAGGUGUAGGAGUGAAAUCCGUAGAUAUCUGGAGGAACAUCAGUGGCGAAGGCGACUAUCUGGAACAUAACUGACGCUGAGGAGCGAAAGCGUGGGUAGCAAACAGGAUUAGAUACCCUGGUAGUC